GUGUUAUUUAGCAUUAGUGGAUAAUUCUGUUCACAGAUUGUUGUGAAUCUGUAAUUGUCUGCUUUUGGAAGGGAGACUUUCUGUCAAAUAGUGUAAAAGGAUAUAAGCUGAAUUCUAACUUGGGGUUUUAAUUGAGAAGGAUGAUUUUGAAAGAUUGUGAAAAUCAUAGGAGGUUGAGAGGCAAGAUAGCCAUGUGGAUCUGUCAGGGUUGUAUGAAGCUAAAAUAUUUCUUAGUUUAAGAAACUCAGGCAGAAAACUUCAUUAUGUAUUCAUUUCAACAGCAGCAGUGUUAUUACAGCUAGGAGAGGCCUAAUGGUGCCAGUGGCAUAAAGCAUCAAGCUUUUGUCCUGAACUGCUUUAUGUCUCACAACCGUACAGAUGCUGCUUCACAACUUCUCUGAGGCCAUAAACCAGUGCUCUGAGUUGGCUGUAGUUUUUCUAGCACAUAAAUGACUUUUUCAGUAUACAGAUGUUCCCAUAUGGAAAGAAGUUACAUAUAGACAGAACCAGAAUUUAAUGUGAUGUUAGUCAUAAAUACCCUGUGAUAGCACAUGUUGCAAGUCUGUGGUUUUCAAAAUAGAUUGCAGCACUGAGGUUUGUGAAUUCAGGAUAUCAUCUGUGCAUAACAUUUUGUUACUUAGUUUUUGAACAGUUGUAGUGGCAAUAAAUCCCAGCAACAUCUUUAUCAGUGAGAUGCUAUAAUGUUAAGUGGUCCAUGAAUCGUUGGAAGAAGCACAUCAGUAGUCUGAUAAUGCACCAUUUGGCAUUGUAUUCCAGAGAAGAAAAUGAGUUAGACAUUAUUGGUUUUCAUUUUCUGCAGUUCUCUAUUUCAGAAGGUGGACAAUUUGUAUUUGCACUGUGAAGAGGUAGAACAGAACAAAUGUUAGAAAUGUAUUUCUGUUAGCAUUUCAGUGCAUCUUUUAAAAAUUAAUUACAGCUUCUUUUAAGGACUCUGAAAGGCAUGAUUCUUUGCUUCUUCCUGUUACUGUAAAAUUCUUUGUUACGCUUUCAGGAACACAGUUACUUUUAACAUCUUGUUCCACCUUAAACCAAAGGCCGCAAUCCUGAAAGACUGACACCUACGAUGAACUGUCUUAGUGAAGCCAGUGAUACCACUCGUUGCAACCAAAUAUUUCAGUACCCAUCUGACUCAACAUGGGCAAACUGUGGACAGAAGAGG
ensembl:lncRNA